UACGAAGGGUGCAAGCGUUACUCGGAAUUACUGGGCGUAAAGCGUGCGUAGGUGGUGAGUUAAGUCUGAUGUGAAAUCCCCGGGCUCAACCUGGGAAUGGCAUUGGAUACUGGCUCGCUGGAGUGCGGUAGAGGGUGGUGGAAUUCCCGGUGUAGCAGUGAAAUGCGUAGAGAUCGGGAGGAACAUCUGUGGCGAAGGCGGCCACCUGGACCAGCACUGACACUGAGGUGCGAAAGCUAGGGUAGCAAACGGG
rnacentral:rRNA from 1 species